CCUACGGGGGGCUGCAGUGAGGAAUAUUGGUCAAUGGGCGCGAGCCUGAACCAGCCAAGUAGCGUGAAGGAUGACUGCCCUACGGGUUAAACUUCUUUUAUAAAGGAAUAAAGUGAGGCACGUGUGCCUUUUUGUAUGUAUUUUAUGAAUAAGGAUCGGCUAACUCCGUGCCAGCAGCCGCGGUAAUACGGAGGAUCCGAGCGUUAUCCGGAUUUAUUGGGUUUAAAGGGAGCGUAGAUGGGUUGUUAAGUCAGUUGUGAAAGUUUGCGGCUCAACCGUAAAAUUGCAGUUGAAACUGGCAGUCUUGAGUACAGUAGAGGUGGGCGGAAUUCGUGGUGUAGCGGUGAAAUGCUUAGAUAUCACGAAGAACUCCGAUUGCGAAGGCAGCUCACUGGACUGCAACUGACACUGAGGCUCGAAAGUGUGGGUAUCAAACAGGAUUAGAUACCCUUGUAGUC
rnacentral:rRNA from 1 species